rnacentral:rRNA from 1 species
AGUGAACGCUGGCGGUAGGCCUAACACAUGCAAGUCGAACGGCCGCACAGUAAGAGCUUGCUCUUACGGGUGGCGAGUGGCGGACGGGUGAGGAAUACAUCGGAAUCUACUUUUUCGUGGGGGAUAACGUAGGGAAACUUACGCUAAUACCGCAUACGACCUACGGGUGAAAGCAGGGGAUCUUCGCACCUUGCGCGAUUGAAUGAGCCGAUGUCGGAUUAGCUAGUUGGCGGGGUAAAGGCCCACCAAGGCGACGAUCCGUAGCUGAUCUGAGAGGAUGAUCAGCCACACUGGAACUGAGACACGGUCCAGACUCCUACGGGAGGCAGCAGUAGGGAAUAUUGGACAAUGGGCGCAAGCCUGACCCAGCCAUACCGCGUGGGUGAAGAAGGCCUUCGGGUUGUAAAGCCCUUUUGUUGGGAAAGAAAAGCAGCGGAUUAAUACCCGGCUGUCCUGACGGUACCCAAAGAAUAAGCACCGGCUAACUUCGUG